AGUGAACGCUGGCGGUAGGCCUAACACAUGCAAGUCGAACGGCAGCACAGUAAGAGCUUGCUCUUACGGGUGGCGAGUGGCGGACGGGUGAGGAAUACAUCGGAAUCUACUUUUUCGUGGGGGAUAACGUAGGGAAACUUACGCUAAUACCGCUUACGACCUACGGGUGAAAGCAGGGGAUCUUCGGACCUUGCGCGAUUGAAUGAGCCGAUGUCGGAUUAGCUAGUUGGCGGGGUAAAGGCCCACCAAGGCGACGAUCCGUAGCUGGUCUGAGAGGAUGAUCAGCCACACUGGAACUGAGACACUGUCCAGACUCCUGCGGGAGGCAGCAGUGGGGAAUAUUGGACAAUGGGCGCAAGCCUGAUCCAGCCAUACCGCGUGGGUGAAGAAGGCCUUCGGGUUGUAAAGCCCUUUUGUUGGGAAAGAAAAGCAGCAGGUUAAUACCCCGCUGUUCUGACGGUACCCAAAGAAUAAGCACCGGCUAACUUCGUG
rnacentral:rRNA from 1 species